rnacentral:tRNA from 1 species
GUUUUAAUAGUUGAAUAACAACAGUGGUUUUUCAAGUCACAGGUCUUGAUUUUGGUCAAGUUAGAAUA